rnacentral:rRNA from 1 species
GGCGAGCGAACGGGGAGCAGCCCAGAGCCUGAAUCAGUGUGUGUGUUAGUGGAAGCGUCUGGAAAGGCGCGCGAUACAGGGUGACAGCCCCGUACACAAAAAUACACAUGCUGUGAGCUCGAUGAGUAGGGCGGGACACGUGGUAUCCUGUCUGAAUAUGGGGGGACCAUCCUCCAAGGCUAAAUACUCCUGACUGACCGAUAGUGAACCAGUACCGUGAGGGAAAGGCGAAAAGAACCCCGGCGAGGGGAGUGAAAAAGAACCUGAAACCGUGUACGUACAAGCAGUGGGAGCACGCUUAGGCGUGUGACUGCGUACCUUUUGUAUAAUGGGUCAGCGACUUAUAUUCUGUAGCAAGGUUAACCGAAUAGGGGAGCCGAAGGGAAACCGAGUCUUAACUGGGCGUUAAGUUGCAGGGUAUAGACCCGAAACCCGGUGAUCUAGCCAUGGGCAGGUUGAAGGUUGGGUAACACUAACUGGAGGACCGAACCGACUAAUGUUGAAAAAUUAGCGGAUGACUUGUGGCUGGGGGUGAAAGGCCAAUCAAACCGGGAGAUAGCUGGUUCUCCCCGAAAGCUAUUUAGGUAGCGCCUCGUGAAUUCAUCUCCGGGGGUAGAGCACUGUUUCGGCAAGGGGGUCAUCCCGACUUACCAACCCGAUGCAAACUGCGAAUACCGGAGAAUGUUAUCACGGGAGACACACGGCGGGGGCUAACGUCCGUCGUGAAGAGGGAAACAACCCAGACCGCCAGCUAAGGUCCCAAAGUCAUGGUUAAGUGGGAAACGAUGUGGGAAGGCCCAGACAGCCAGGAUGUUGGCUUAGAAGCAGCCAUCAUUUAAAGAAAGCGUAAUAGCUCACUGGUCGAGUCGGCCUGCGCGGAAGAUGUAACGGGGCUAAACCAUGCACCGAAGCUGCGGCAGCGACGCUUAUGCGUUGUUGGGUAGGGGAGCGUUCUGUAAGCCUGUGAAGGUGUACUGUGAGGUAUGCUGGAGGUAUCAGAAGUGCGAAUGCUGACAUAAGUAACGAUAAAGCGGGUGAAAACCCCGCUCGCCGGAAGACCAAGGGUUCCUGUCCAACGUUAAUCGGGGCAGGGUGAGUCGACCCCUAAGGCGAGGCCGAAAGGCGUAGUCGAUGGGAAACAGGUUAAUAUUCCUGUACUUGGU